CCUACGGGAGGCUGCAGUAGGGAAUAUUGCUCAAUGGGGGAAACCCUGAAGCAGCAACGCCGCGUGGAGGAUGAAGGUUUUCGGAUUGUAAACUCCUUUUGUUAGAGAAGAUAAUGACGGUAUCUAACGAAUAAGCACCGGCCAACUCCGUGCCAGCAGCCGCGGUAAUACGGAGGGUGCAAGCGUUACUCGGAAUCACUGGGCGUAAAGAGCGCGUAGGCGGGAUAGCAAGUCAGAUGUGAAAUCCUAUGGCUUAACCAUAGAACUGCAUUUGAAACUGUUAUUCUAGAGUAUGGGAGAGGUAGGUGGAAUUCGUGGUGUAGGGGUAAAAUCCGUAGAGAUCAAGAGGAAUACUCAUUGCGAAGGCGACCUGCUAGAACAUGACUGACGCUGAUGCGCGAAAGCGUGGGUAGCAAACAGGAUUAGAUACCCCUGUAGUC
rnacentral:rRNA from 1 species